UACGAAGGGUGCAAGCGUUACUCGGAAUUACUGGGCGUAAAGCGUGCGUAGGUGGUCUGUUAAGUCUGAUGUGAAAGCCCUGGGCUCAACCUGGGAAUUGCAUUGGAUACUGGCAGGCUAGAGUGCGGUAGAGGAUGGCGGAAUUCCCGGUGUAGCGGUGAAAUGCGCAGAUAUCAGGAGGAACACCAAUGGCGAAGGCAGCUCGCUGGGACGGUACUGACGCUGAGGCGCGAAAGCGUGGGGAGCAAACAGG
rnacentral:rRNA from 1 species